UACGUAGGUGGCAAGCGUUGUCCGGAUUUAUUGGGUUUAAAGGGUGCGUAGGCGGUUUUGUAAGUCAGUGGGGAAAUACUCUAGCUUAACUAGAGGGGUGCCAAUGAUACUGCGGAACUUGAGUACAGAUGAGGUAGGCGGAAUUGACGGUGUAGCGGUGAAAUGCAUAGAUAUCGUCAAGAAUACCGAUAGCGAAGGCAGCUUACUGGGCUGUAACUGACGCUGAUGCACGAAAGUGUGGGGAUCAAACAGG
rnacentral:rRNA from 1 species